UAGUUUUGAUUGCAUCAAGGUUAGUUAAUAGUUCCACAAGGUAAUCCCUGUAAUUGACUUUUACUGAUCUGCAUUGCAACACCCGAUUAAUAUUAAUUUGUAGAUAGAGGAAAGUAUUUAUGGUUACAGGUACCGUCAAAUGGUUUAAUGAAUCAAAAGGUUAUGGUUUUAUCACCCCUUCUGAUGGCAGCCCCGAUGUAUUCGUUCAUUAUUCCGCAAUUCAAGGCUCCGGGUUCAAGACCCUGACUGAAGGACAAACCGUGGAAUUUGAGAUCCAGAAUGGCGCCAAAGGCCCGCAGGCGGCUAACGUCACUGGCAGCAGCAAGUAAAAAUUCAAACUAUUCAAACGGGGAUUCCUUGGCAUAUCUGGGAAUCCCCAU
rnacentral:sRNA from 1 species